rnacentral:rRNA from 1 species
GACGAACGCUGGCGGCGUGCCUAAUACAUGCAAGUCGAGCGAGCGGAACCAACAGAUUUACUUCGGUAAUGACGUUGGGAAAGCGAGCGGCGGAUGGGUGAGUAACACGUGGGGAACCUGCCCCUAAGUCUGGGAUACCAUUUGGAAACAGGUGCUAAUACCGGAUAAUAAAGCAGAUCGCAUGAUCAGCUUUUGAAAGAUGGCUUUGGCUAUCACUCUGGGAUGGACCUGCGGUGCAUUAGCUAGUUGGUAAGGUAACGGCUUACCAAGGCGAUGAUGCAUAGCCGAGUUGAGAGACUGAUCGGCCACAAUGGAACUGAGACACGGUCCAU